UGGAUCGUGUAUGUGUGCUUUUCAGAGGGUGAAUGGGCAAGACAAAAUAUUUAAGUGCCUUUGAGCGGUGUAUGGUAGUAGGUGCCAGGCGCACCGGUUUUAGUGUGUAAAGAACUGUAACACUGCUCGAUUUUUCAGUUUCCCAUGUGCGCCAAGAUUGGUCCACCAUCCAAAGGACAUCCAGCCAACUUGACACAACUGUGGGAGGCAUUGGAGUCAACAUGGGCCAGCAUCCCUGCAGAAUGCUUUCGACACCUUGUAGAGUCCAUGCCCCGACGAAUUGAGGUUGUUCUGAGGGCAAAAGGGUGUGCAAAUCAAUAUUAGGAAGGUGUUCCUAUUGUUUUGUACACUCAGUGUACGAAAGGGCGUUCAUUUCCUGCAUCAGCCCCUCCCCUCCAGCACCACUACCUCCACUCAAGCGGUUGGCAUCGUUCUUGGCUCCACCUGUUCCUGGUGGACUGUUCUCAUCCUGAGGAGACACAACAUUGGUCACCAUACGAGUUCCAUUUUAUAGAAGCCAACCAACAGUUUCAGCUACAGCCCAGCUAAACCCUUUGACUGUGACAUAAACAGACUGACAUACAGGUUAUUGCCACACUGGAAAGGGUCCCACCUCCGUCUUGCGAGCUGAGCACAUUGAGGGCAAACAUCAUGGCGGUGGAGAAGGUGGUGGCCUCCUCCUUGCUGGCGAAGUUGAGACCGUACACCUGCCUGGCAUCACGCCACUGGUGGAAGUUUGACCCCAACCACGCGGAAGGUGUUGUUGGCCGUGUUGUGGUAGAUGUUGAUGCGGCUGAAGCCCUGCUGUCCCGGCUUGAUUGGCACCCACUUCUUACUGGCGUCAUCGUACACCAUGACCGAGGCGCGGGCUUGG